UACGGGGGGGGCAAGCGUUGUUCAGAAUUACUGGGCGUAAAGGGCUCGUAGGCGGCCAACUAAGUCAGACGUGAAAUCCCUCGGCUUAACCGGGGAACUGCGUCUGAUACUGGAUGGCUUGAGAUUGGGAGAGGGAUGCGGAAUUCCAGGUGUAGCGGUGAAAUGCGUAGAUAUUCGCAAGAACACCAGUGGCGAAGGCGGCUCACUGGCUAAUGACUGACGCUGAGGUGCGAAAGCUAGGGGAGCGAACGGG
rnacentral:rRNA from 1 species